GACGAACCGUGCGAACGUUGUUCGGAAUAACUGGGCUUAAAGGGAGCGUAGGCGGGCUAACAAGUCUGGGGUGAAAUCCCGCGGCUCAACCGGGAGGUGCGCCGAAUACUGAAUGACUUGGAGUGCGGGAGAGGUGAGUGGAAUUCCUGGUGUAGCGGUGAAAUGCGUAGAUAUCAGGAGGAACACCGGUGGUGUAGACGGCUCACUGGACCGUAACUGACGCUGAGGCGCGAAAGCGUGGGGAGCAAACAGG
rnacentral:rRNA from 1 species